rnacentral:rRNA from 1 species
UAUAAAGUGGCGAACGGCUGAGUAACACGUGGGCAACCUGCCCUUUGCACUGGGAUAGCCUCGGGAAACCGAGGUUAAUACCGGAUACUCCAUAUUUGUCGCAUGGCGAAUAUGGGAAAGCUCCGGCGGCAAAGGAUGGGCCCGCGGCCUGUUAGCUAGUUGGUGGGGUAGUGGCCUACCAAGGCAAUGAUGGGUAGCCGGGUUCGAGAGACCGACCGGCCUAGAUUUGGGACUGAGACACGGCCCAGACUCCUACGGGAGGCAGCAGCC